UUUUAUGGAGAGUUUGAUCCUGGCUCAGAGUGAACGCUGGCGGCGUGCCUAAUACAUGCAAGUCGAACGAUGAAGCUUCUACUUGCUAGAAGUGGAUUAGUGGCGCACGGGUGAGUAAGGUAUAGUUAAUCUGCCCUACACAAGAGGACAACAGUUGGAAACG
rnacentral:rRNA from 1 species